rnacentral:lncRNA from 1 species
AUUGUCUCCCCUUUCUGCUGGCUGGAUGGGGAUGUGGAGGAGAGGACCCUUGGACCAUGGGGAUGGGAGCAACGUGCCAGGCAUGGCAGCGCAAUAGAGGUGGGUUCUACCAAAGGAGCUGCUCUACCCAUCCUGGACUGCUUCUAUCUGGAUGUUGAGCAAGUGUCCCCACUGUGACCUAGCAACAUCCUCCCAAUGCACAUGGUGUCUGACGCAAAAUGGAGGAGAAGGAGUUGGCAGAAAGAAGGGAAGAAAAGGUGGGAAGAAGCCUAGAGAAGAAUAUUUAGGUUUGAAGAGUGUGAUUUACUGUUACCUUGAACCCAAAUUAUUUUGUUUGUUUGUUUGUUUGUUUGGGGCAUUUGCCAAAUGUGUAGUCUCACCGUGUAACUGACUGUGUGGAUGAAGCCAUGUUCAUCCACUGAGCUCUGAGCCAUCAGGAGCCCUGGGAGGUGAGUGCGUCUCACAUAUCAUCUUAAAUCACCAGGGCUAGACCAGAAACUAAACACUUCCCCAGGUUUUCUCUCACUAUUUCCUUCAGGAUCAGAUGCUGCCUACAGCCAGAGACCUAAUGCUGUCUUUCCAGCUAAACUGGGAUCUCCAUGAAGUCGGGAUAUAUCUUAUUUGUUUUUAUAAUCUCAACAAUCUGGCAUAGAGUACCAGGCAAAGAAGGAAUGAAUGAGUGAGUGUGUAGAUAAAUGGACAGAUGGAGGGAUAGAUGGAGGGAUGGAUGGAAGGAUGGGUGGGUGGGUGGGUGGAUGCAUAGAUGGAUGGAUGGAUGGAUGGAUAAAUGUUGGAAGGAAGGAAAGAAAAGAAGGAAGAAUGGACAGAUAGGUGAAUAAAUGAUAGAAGGAAGGAAGAAAGGAAGGGUGAAGGAAUGGAUGGAUAGGUGGGUGGAUGGAUGGAUAGAUAGAGGGAUGGUGAAUACGUGGAUGGACAGAUGAAUGCAUGGAUGAUAGACAAUAAUAGUGAAUAGUUUUGAGCUCUUAUUAUGUUCCAGGCAAUUUACACAGAUAAUUUCAUUUAAUUUUCCUCCAUGACUUUCAACAUAUGCAAAAUAAACUUCAGGAAGGUGAAAUCACGUACCUGAAAUGGCACGAAAGUCGAUUAGACUCCUGAGUGAGUGUUCUAAACUAUUAUACCCUAAUGCUGAAUAAAUGAAUGAAUACAUGAAGAAAUGACUUAUCUGUAUAUAAAUUUUGCUCCAAGGAUAUACAAAAGCUAGGCCAGGCAUGGCAUGGUGGCUCAUGCCUGUAAUCCCAGCACUU